GACGAAGGGGGGCUAGCGUUGUUCGGAAUUACUGGGCGUAAAGCGCGUGUAGGCGGUUGUUCAAGUCAGGUGUGAAAGCCUUGAGCUCAACUCAAGAAAUGCACUUGAUACUGGAUGACUAGAGGACCGGAGAGGAUAGUGGAAUUCCCAGUGUAGUGGUGAAAUACGUAGAGAUUGGGAAGAACACCAGUGGCGAAGGCGGCUAUCUGGACGGUUUCUGACGCUAAGACGCGAAAGCGUGGGGAGCAAACAGG
rnacentral:rRNA from 1 species